AAGAGGGAAGAGCCCAGCACUGAAUCCCUCGCCGAUGCGGCGACGGGAGCUGUAGUGUUCGGGACGGUCUUUGAGGUCCGUGCACGGUGAUUCCAAGUCCGUUUGAACACGAGCUGUCAAUCGCGCUCGCCGGCCUUCGCCGGAGGGGUGUGACCAGAGAGGGUGUGAGACCCGUGGGAAUCGCUAGCCUAGUGCCGGCGCUUUGACCUGUCUCCAGAGUCGGGUUGUUUGGGAAUGCAGUCCAAAGAGGGUGGUAAACUCCAUCCAAGGCUAAAUAUGCUCGCGAGUCCGAUAGCGGACCAAGUACCGCGAGGGAAAGUUGAAAAGGACUUUGAAGAGAGAGUUCAAGAGUACGUGAAAGCGCUGAGAGGUAAACGGAUGGGAUCACGAUGUUGAUUCCCGGCAAUUCAGCUCUCGUCUCCGUCGCCCGCCCCGUUCGGUGUGACCUGUUCGGCUCUCCCUUUCGUGGGGUCUGCCCGAUCUUGGGUUCGCCGGCGGAGGCGCUGCUGCGGCGGUUCAGCAGAGAGUGCACUUUGCCGUGGAAGCUAGCCGCGACGGGUUCUUCACCUGCUGUGAAGCGUCGUGCAUAGGGCCCCCGUUGUCCUGCGUCGCAAGCGUGGCCUCGGUGCGCGCCUUUGCGGCGGAGGCUCGGGGACUGGAUCUGGUGGCGGAGUCCGCCAGGCGAAGGACCGAGGCAGUACGAAACGACCGGCCUCUCGGUGAAAGGCGCCGCCCGAGCUGCCGUCGGCUCGUCGGACUGUUCACAGUGCGACGACGUCCGGACGGGUGGCAGGGCGCGUCGAGGGCUCAGGCGAUAAGUAGUGGUCAGUGGCAGUUGACAGCCCAUCCGACCCGUCUUGAAACACGGACCAAGGAGUCUAACAUGUGCGCGAGUCAUGGUGACUUGUCGAAACACAAAGGCGCAACGAAAGUGAGAUACGAAGGUCAGACGCCGUCUGAAGCCGUCCAGGCGACGGCGGCGGCAGGACCGGCCCGUCCCGAAUCGCAUCGUCGAUGUGGAUGGAGCAGGAGCGUAACUGUUGGUACCCGAAAGAUGGUGAACUAUGCCCGAGUAGGAU
rnacentral:rRNA from 1 species